GUUAUAAUUCUAGCCACCAAACAUACCCAACAAUUCUAUUAACCAUUAAAAUUAA
rnacentral:rRNA from 1 species